GAUGAAGAACGUAGCGAAAUGCGAUAAGUAAUGUGAAUUGCAGAAUUCAGUGAAUCAUCGAAUCUUUGAACGCACAUUGCGCCCCCUGGUAUUCCGGGGGGCAUGCCUGUUCGAGCGUCAUUUCACCACUCAAGCCUCGCUUGGUAUUGGGCAACGCGGUCCGCCGCGUGCCUCAAAUCGACCGGCUGGGUCUUCUGUCCCCUAAGCGUUGUGGAAACUAUUCGCUAAAGGGUGUUCGGGAGGCUACGCCGUAAAACAACCCCAUUUCUAAGGUUGACCUCGGAUCAGGUAGGGAUACCCGCUGAACUUAAGCAUAUCAAUAAGCUGAGGA
rnacentral:misc_RNA from 1 species